AGCGUUAUCAAAACAAACGCAUUUACAACAAUCUCCCCACCAGUGUAGCGCCCCUGGGCGUUACACUCUUCUAACGUUUGUUUGUUUAUCUUAUGCAUCCUAAUCUGUCACGAAACCACGCGGUUUCCCUAUCUCGCGCGCGCCUCAUUCGUUCGUUUCGCGUUUCCCGACAUCCAGAACCGCUAUCUUAGCUGCCGGUCUUUCUAGUAUCCCGCAUGUCGUUUGCACCGUUGCCCUUCUAACCUGACCGUCUUUAGCACGGGUCACUUCUAGAACGCGUCCCAUUGGCCAGGUAUUCCUCGGUAAAUUCCCGUCCGCGAUUACCACUACGUCUCCCACCUGGAUCGGCGGCACCGGGUGGAACCAUUUCGUCCUGCGGGGCACCCCAUAACGACCGUAUUGAAGUCGGCGAAUCAUCGAAAAAAGCGGCUGCUUUACUCCCAUCGGCACUACCGAGCAAUAAGUGGUUCGGCGUUAUCGGACAGUCCAGCUCAUCGUCGAUCGGCGUCUUUGAGCUCUCUCGCCGCCCCGACGAAGUUGGUACCCCGAUCGCUUAUUAUCUCCCUCGGCGAGCCUCUUCUUGCGAUGAACCGGCGGAUAGCUAAAAUACAGGAAGCAGUUGUUAGUGCAUGAGCUACUUCGAGGUGAACCGCCCUUGUAGUAAGACAGGUGAACAGCGCUCCCCAGCGCUUCUCCGAGUGACGUCCCACGACCACGAGUAUCGGUCCAAAAUAAUCUAGACCGGUAUACGUGAAGGCCCGUUGAUACACUGCUACCCUCUGCCGAGGAAUGUCCCCCAUCAGGGGUGGAUUUGGCACGGCGUUCCGUAUUUUACACUGCUGACAGUCUCGUCGUACCCGGUUAAACUCCACUAGCAGUUUCGGUAUAUAGUACCGCAUCCGGAGUUGAGCCACCACUGUUCUGUGGCUCUGAUGACAAAAGCGCUCGUGGAAGUCUCUGAUGAUCAGAUCUGUGACGGGGUGUCUUCUUGGCAAAAGCUUGUAGAGCACACUGUUCCGGUUAAUCGCCUGUUUCCAAGGAUGUUUCUUCCGCGCAUCGCUGCGCAGGCAUUUAAUAUCGGCAGCAAACCCUUCCGACUGCACCAACGUGUAGAGUGUCCGUUCCGCAGCUAGCAGUUCAUCCUGUGUCAGUGGCCCUGUUACCUUCUUCACUUGCCUAAUCCGUCGCCGAGUGUUCCCGAUAUACCGAAGAACAUAACCGACCGCUCUCAAUAGUUUCUUCCAGCGUGAGAAACGAGUGAAGUCGACUACAACAUCAACCACGAUUCCCACAGGAACCCUGGCCCUCGGAACCAUCUGCUGGAUGAGGUUAAGUCCGGAACUCCCUGCCACUUCGUCCCGUCAUCCGCUACGUUGACCUUAGUGGAAAGCCACCGCCACUCGUUAAUCUCUGUCGUCUCGACCAGCUCACUCACCCGAAAGGCGACAAACGUGCUGUAUCGCCUAUGGUCCGAUCGUAUCCAGCUCACAACGUUCCGCGAGUCCGUCCAGAACACCCUCCUGGUAACCUUCAACCGAUGCGUCUUGAUGAUG